rnacentral:misc_RNA from 1 species
ACCGACAUCCACGACUACGAAGUCAAAAUGCGGUCGGUCUUCAAGUUUCUUGAAAAUGGCGACAAGUGCAAGAUCACCCUGCGCUUCCGUGGCCGCGAGAUGGCGCACCAGAAUCUGGGCCGCGAAUUGCUCGAGCGCGUGGCCGAGGACGUGAAAGAAGUGGGCAAGAUCGAAAACAUGCCCAAGAUGGAAGGCCGCCAGAUGAUCAUGAUGAUCGGCCCGAUAUCGAAAUAAGCCGGACCUGAUCCGGUUGGUUCAAGGGGUGCGCCACGGCGCGCCCCUUUUGUUUUGCGCCUCUCUUAGGAUGCGGGAUCGGCCCUGACAUCGAAUUUCCCGA